CGGACGGGUGAGUAAUGCUUAGGAAUCUGCCCAGUAGUGGGGGAUAGCCCGGGGAAACCCGGAUUAAUACCGCAUACGUCCUACGGGAGAAAGCAGGGGAUCUUCGGACCUUGCGCUAUUGGAUGAGCCUAAGUCGGAUUAGCUAGUUGGUGGGGUAAAGGCCUACCAAGGCGACGAUCCGUAGCUGGUCUGAGAGGAUGAUCAGCCACAUCGGGACUGAGACACGGCCCGAACUCCUACGGGAGGCAGCAGUGGGGAAUAUUGGACAAUGGGGGCAACCCUGAUCCAGCCAUGCCGCGUGUGUGAAGAAGGCUUUCGGGUUGUAAAGCACUUUCAGUAGGGAGGAAAACCUUAUGGCUAAUACCCAUGAGGCUUGACGUUACCUACAGAAGAAGCACCGGCUAACUCCGUGCCAGCAGCCGCGGUAAUACGGAGGGUGCAAGCGUUAAUCGGAAUUACUGGGGCGUAAAGCGCGCGUAGGUGGUUUGGUUAAGCGAGAUGUGAAAGCCCCGGGCUUAACCUGGGAACGGCAUUUCGAACUGUCAGACUAAAGUGUGGUAGAGGGUAGUG
rnacentral:rRNA from 2 species